rnacentral:RNase_P_RNA from 1 species
AGCAGGGCGGAUGAUCGCGGCUGCAGGUCCCGAAAGGGCGCAGGUGAGGAAAGUCCGGGCUUCACAGGGCAGGAUGCCGGCUAACGGCCGGCGGAGGCGACUCCCGGGAAAGUGCAACAGAGAGCAGACCGCUGCCCGCGCUCCGGCGCGGGCAGUAAGGGUGAAAGGGCAGUGUAAGAGACUACCGGCGGCCUGGCAACAGGGCGCGCAUUGUAAACCCCAUCCGAAGCAAGACCGAACAGAGGACCACGGGCUGCCCGUCCAUGUCCUCAGGUGGGUCGCUGGAAGCCUGCGGCAACGCAGGCUCUAGAUAGAUGAUCAUCUUGAAUGACAUAACCCGGCUUACAGUCCUGCUCAC